CCCAGCUGGGGAAAGCCGGGCUGGCUAGAGGCAACAGGGUGAAGGCUGCAGUUCUUCCGUUCCCUCGGUUUUAUUCGGGAAGCCUAAAGUUCUCUGGUCUGUGCGGGGUUGAGCUAGCCGUGGUAGUGUCAGGGUGCGGAGGGCAUGAGGUGUGAGGGUUUUCUUUAAAAGUUUGAGGCAGGGUCUCAUUCUAAAUCGCUUCCUAAUGCUGACAGUACAAGUGCCACAAUGCCUCGCGAGUGUAUGUGAGAGAGCGAGCCAGCGAGCAUGGAGGUUGGAGAACAACCUGUGGGAUUUCUCUUCUUCCACUGUUCGGCGCUCGAACGUCGAACGCAAGUGGUCAGGUCUGGGCACGGUGUCACAGCGCCCAGGCAGUGGAAAAGGAGGAUCCGGAGUUCAAGCCUUCUUUAUUACACCAAGAUAUAUUAUUGAAACCAGAGAGAUUCCAAAUCGUGCUGGUAGCUUGGUUCCGUGGUAGUGUUUCCCUGGCAAGUACAAAGCUGCGUGCAUUCCCGGCACCGAUACAUGAGUAAAUAAAAGCUCCGAAACAAAGUCAGAGUCUUGCUUUAUUGCUAGUACCAGUUGAUAUCUUGGCAAGUCCCUUCGCAUCUCCGGUUAGUGUAUCUUUUGAGGAUUAGAGGAACUAAACUGAAAACCUGCAAAGCUCCUAGCCAAGACCUGAUAUGUAAAGAUCGGGGAAAUUAUCACGUGGAAUUAACAUGGUUAAAGUGUACAUGACCCUUUGCCUACAGUCCCAGACAGACCGCCAGCAUCUAGAUCAGAACAAAGCAGACGAUGUUGGGCUUGUGUGAUGAGUUGACCAAACUGACCAAUUGGAGCCCUUUCUUUGCCAAGCUCCAUUCAGCAGCUGCCCAUUUUUCCAGCAGUUUCUCAAUUGUUCAUGACGUGAUGCUGAUAGAAGAGGUACUCAAGAUCCUGGGGAUUCUGCAGCUUUCGCCUCCUAAAAUAUGUCUCUUCAGUCAGAAGUACGGGUAGCCACAGAAUCCUCUUUAAUUUCCGGAACGCCUGCAGGAGUCGUUACAUCCUCAAGUAAGGAUGUCAUCAAGCGUCCUGUCAGCCCCUGGGUUACACAU